UACAGAGGGUGCGAGCGUUAAUCGGAAUUACUGGGCGUAAAGGGCGCGUAGGCGGUGAUAUAAGCCGUGUGUGAAAUUCCUGGGCUCAACCUAGGGACUGCACACGGGACUGUAUUGCUAGAGUACUGUAGAGGGCGGUGGAAUUUCCGGUGUAGCGGUGAAAUGCGUAGAGAUCGGAAGGAACACCAGUGGCGAAGGCGGCCGCCUGGACAGAUACUGACGCUGAAGCGCGAGAGCGUGGGGAGCAAACAGG
rnacentral:rRNA from 1 species